GUUCAACUCUCAUAUUGAUUGUUCUAUAGGCAUCUAUCUUAAUUGCUACCUGGACCAUGACAUGGAGACAUUGUCACAGAGACUACAUAGAACUUGUAUUAUUGACUAGAGGAUUCUAUGUAAGGGUGUAAGUGAACCGAGCUGGAUCACUUGCCGGCUUGAGCUCGACUCAUUAAUAAGCUCACGAGUUGAGUUUGUCAAGUUAUGUAUUUGAGCUCGAGCCUAUACUCAAGCUCGUAUAUUAAACGAGCUUGAGCUCGAGCUCAACUUGGCUCAACUCGUAAGCUCGUUGAGCCGCUUGAUUAACUUGAAUACAUUUAAAAAUUAAUUUAAAUUAUCAUUAUAUAAAUAUAUAAUAUAUUUAACAUUUUAAAAUUAAUGUUAUAUUAAAAAUAAAAAAUCUCAAAAAAAAAAAUUGAAAAUUUUAAUUUAAAACUAAAAAAUUGAGCUCAACAAUCGAGUCAAACUCGAGCUCAAUAAGAAAUAAACAAACUUAGCUCGAUUAGGCGGAUGCUCGAGUCGAGUACACCCCUAAUUCUUUGUAAUGUUGUUGAGUUUAUGAUUUGGAGCUGAAAUAAUGUGGUCCCUUUAUUGGGGUUUAUUUUGUUUGGUUUCUAUUUUCUAUUUAGAAUUUAUCUCAUGCUGAGUUUACUCUGCUCAUAGUGCUCCAAUAGGACCACAAUGCUGUUUAUGUUGAGAUAAGCUCUGAAUUUAGCAACAAAUCCAUAAUGGCUCUAGAAUUAUAAAGAUAAUGAUAAUAAUCUGGCCUAGCGUGUUGAAGUCUUGGUUAAUUUUGAUAACUACUUAGGUUAGUGAGGAGUAUUUCUUCUCUUAAAUAUUGUAAGGUAUGACAUCAUGAUGGCGCAUACUCUUUGCAAUAUAGAUGAACGUGUUCAUGAAACCUAAGGAAGGAAUCAAUCUUCAAGGAUUAUCUUAUUUUCCCUUAUUGCAGCUGAGACGAGCCAUUGGAGAUCCUACACUAUUGCCUGCACUACCGGCUACAUUUUUAGAAGAUAUGGAGCCAUGGAGGUAAUAUUUGAACCACUGGAGGUGCACCAAGGAGACAAGAUGACCAAGGAAGUGUUGAUCAAGCUGAAGAAUUUACCAGAAUAUUAAAUGACAUGGAAAGCCUACAUCACUAUCUAGAGGCAGUUUCUUUCUUUCCACCUUGAGGAUAAGAUGAUUUUUUGGGAGGGGAGUAUUGAUACGGUUGUGGACCCCGCCUCAUUUCAAGAGCCAAAAGGCUCUUGUUUUGUGGGUUCCAACUCCUCAUUUUAGAUCUAUAGUAGGAAAAAGUUUAAGGGGAGAUCAUUGGAGGAAAUGUGAGGUGCAUUUAUGGUUGGAUUAUGGCUGAUUUUAAGGGAAAAGUUUGUAUGUGGGAGGGGUUAUGUGAAGAAUUUUUUGAUGUAGUUUUUCUUAGAUGAUUUUGGGUUCCUAGUUGCUUCUAGGAAAUUGGAGGAGAGCCAAUUCACUUCUCAAAUGGUGAAUCAAUUAUAUCUUGUGUUUCUUU